UAGAUCUGGCCCUUUGUCACUAACUCUGGAAAACCUGCAAAUCCCUGAUGUCUCAGUGCUGAGCCUUGAGGCUUUGACCCCAUCCUUAACUUUCUAGUGUGCUUCCUUUUCCCUCAUAUGUUCUCCUCCUUUUCCUGCUCUCUCUGUCAGCAUCCCUGUCAGUGAUAUGGUUGUUUCCUUCCUCCAGAGCACAACAAAGACUGUUUGUGACUGUUGUUCUCUGGGCAGGGAGCAUUUCCAGGCUGUCCUCUCUCACCAGGAGCAGGGGGUGCCUAUAUGGAAGGUCCCAGCACCUGUACGGUCAGAAGGCAAAAUGAGCAAAGCACUGGUGGAGGCACAGCCCGACAGUCGUCCUGAACAGACGGUGCUGAGCAGACAAAAAUCCUGCCCUCAUUCUUUGUUUCUUUUCCAAAGUUUCUGAAAUCUCUCAGAACAAAGAUGAAGCACCCAACUAAACAUUCCUCAUUGAAAGGCUCCCCAGAUCAGCUGGUGAUUUUCACUUGAAAAGAAGUAAACUUUAUCCUUAAUUCUCUGAUUGCUUUGGAAUUCCACACCCCGGUUUCUAAUUUUACACAUCAGCAGAUUGAUGCAAAUUUGACAUUUUCUGUUGGAAGAGCUCUGGUUCUCCUGCUGACACUAAAGCAUUAGCGAUGAAAGCCUGGGAUGAGGGAAGUUACUGGAACGGGCUGCCCAGGGAGGUGGUGGAGUCACCAUCCCUGGAAGUCUUCAAAAGACGUUUAGAUGUAGAGCUUAGGGAUAUGGUUUAGUGGGGACUGUUAGUAUUAGGUCAGAGGUUGGACUCGAUGAUCUUGAGGUCUCUUCCAACCUAGAAAUUCUGUGAUUCUGUGAUUCUGUGAAGUUCUGAUCAGCAUGCGAUACAUAAAACAAAGUCCUCUGCUGUUUGGUUUUGGCGGGGGGCAUGGGGUUAACGCCGGUGUCUGUGCUGAAUCAAUGUCACUACAGAGGUGCAAUUAGGGCUACAAGGUAAGGCUAUCUUCAGGAUGCUUCUGUUAUCAUUUUUAAGAAAAGGUACAUCCACAGCUGGGGGAUUUUGCUCUGCCUGUAUGACUAACUCAGUGUUUUUAUAAUGUGCUGAGGAAUUUCUAUCAACAUCUCAGAUGAAAGGGCCUGCUGCUAAUUUAAUAGCCCGAUGUGAUUCCACUGGAAAUGGGCAGCAGGUGUGCUGCCAGGUGGGAACGGGGCUGGGCUGCAGAGCUGUAAGGUGGGUCAUGGGCAGAGAACCCCACCACAUGGACGUGGCACAAACAGAGCUGUAACACGCAGCUGAAGCACUGCUGUGAAUCCUGUGUUUAAGAUUUCCUUCCUGAAUCCCUUAUCCCACCAACCUGCCCCAGUAAUUUUUAACCAAGAGUGGUAUUCUGUGCUUGGCCUGGUCCCCAAAAAACUCGAAAUGAUUUGAAGAAAAUUAAUGAGUAAACAAAGAAAGGGAGAACUUUUUCUUUCUUCUGUUUCUGACUGACCCUGCUUCCAAAGGUGAAUGCGAAGAACAAUGGCAAGAGAGCGAGUGCUGAGCGUAUUUAAAGCACAAUAAUGGGAAGUGCUGAUGACCUCCAAUUUCCAUUGAGUCCUUUUCCUUCCCCUGGCAAAAAUUAUGGCGUGUCACUGUCACUGCAUGGCUGGAUCCUGGUGCUGUGAGCCCCUUCAGUAAGUGCUUUGGAGAUGUUCGGGUUGGACAAAUUAGCAAGGCAGCGCUAUCAAACCCUGAGGCUCUUGGAGAAGAUCUGUGGGAAAUGCAAGCAGUCAGAGGCACAGAAACAGGUGGGGAAGAGGAACUAAAAGAAGCAGUGGAUGUGCAGGGGAAUCCCUAAGAGUGAGCUGGGUUUUGCCCAGCCUCUGUGCCAGGUGUGGUUUGACCAGGCGGGGCAGGAAAGGAGCUGCAGCUGGUUCUGGGGAGCCUGCAGUUGUUGGGGCACCUGAGCAGGAAGGACUUUUGGCAGCCUGGGGUCAGAGAAGCCAGCACAAGCCCUGGGGUGGGAAUGUUCAAGAGACAAAGCAGAGUUUCUAGUACAGGUGUCUGUGUGGUGGGAGCUCUUCCUCUAGAUGAGCUUCCCCUUCAGAGACUUUGGUUCUGUUAAAAUAAAGCAAAUGACUCAUUAUAGAUCUGAUAGAUAUAGAUCUGCAUGUGUGAAGGCCAAAGAAAUGUCCCAAAGCAGCUCAGCAUAGUGUGAUUUGCCUCCCUCACCCCAGUGCAGUCAUGGCUUACAUGUAUAUGCCCAGUUAUGGUAAUUUAGGCACUGACAUUGCUGGGAAUUCUGUUCCUGACAAUGGGGGGAGAGGUAAGGUCACAGCCCUCCCACGUCACCGUGAUUCGUUUUGCGUUGUGUUGCCCUUCUGCACGGUGCUAAGAGGAUGCCAUAAUUUAGGGUUCACCUAAACAGAUGUCUAAACAUAAAUAAAACAAGUCAUAAGUGCAAGAUGAUACAAGCAAAGCAUAGUUUCUGGUGAGAACCCUCUCAGAACUUUUGCUUCCCCCCCACACUUAUGCUCACACACCAUCAUUUCCAAAAAACCCUUUGCUCCUUUUCCCCUUCAAACGGAAGCACCCACUCUGGUGCUUGGGUUCCCACUCUGGGUCUGGGCUGGGGCAUCAGCUUUCUCCAGGCACAAAGACACACACACACAUCUCCAGUGUAGAUCAACAGCAUGGAAGAACUGCAGGCAGAAGUAUUUGUGAUAUAUACAUAUUACCCAUCAUGGGUAUAUGUAUAUAUAUAACUAUAUAUAUGGAUAUCUUAAGGUAAAAAUAAAAAAAAAAUUAAAGCUAGAAUGUCUCUUCAUUGAAACUUUGGCCUUUGGCCAUUGAGGCUUUGGGACCAUGUUAACUUUACCCUACGUUUGCUCAGUGUUGAGCUCACCUCUGCGUGCGGCACUGCUGGUAUUUCCAUAGUGCCAGGAAAAGGGGUUGAUGUUAUAUUUCAGUUAGUCACCCAUGCAACUUGUAUUUAUUCACUUGUCAUUUAUGUGGAAGGACGUGAAUCUGCCCGAUUUUUUUUUUCCCUAAUGCUCUGAGUAAUAUUUAUGAAGUUGUUUGUACUUCGAAACCACAAGGUGGUGAACUCAGAGAUAUAAAAAUGCAAAGAACGGUAAUCUCUAAGGAAUGAAAAUGUGAAAUCAAGUGUUGAGCAAGAUGCUUUUAAAGGAAACAAUAUAUUUUCUGAAUGAUAUUGCAUGUGAUUUUCUUGCUGUGCAGAAUAAUUCUUCAUUCACUCUUUGAAGGAAAGUAAAAAAGAAAGCUGUGUAUUUCAUCUCCUUCUCCAGCCCCUCACUUUAACAAAUGCUUAGGCAGAAUAUCAUGCCCUCAUUUUAUUUUUGAUUAUCUGUUUGUGAAAUUUUCUCCUUCCCUCUCCAGGUAGAUAAACUGCUGGCUUCCAGUUCUUUGCCAACGAGGAAGGAAUUAUGCUUUUUCUUUUUAUUUGUCUAACUGUCCUGAGUGCUUUUUGUGUUUUUUCUCAUGGUAUCACUUUCCUGGGGUGACAAAAGAGAGCAAAGCCUCAUGCCCUCGGGGAUAAAGGGGACAGGACUCAGAAUUAUUGGCAUGGUACUGAUUCUGCAUUUCUUGUUUUUAUUUUGAAAAGUCUCAAUCCAGUAAGAAUAAUUAAUAUAUGCUUGUCAAAUACACGUAUAGAUUUUUUUUUUUUUUUUUUUAUAAACUGCUAGGUGAAGUUAUACCACACUUGGUUUUGUUGAUCUCUGCAAACAAUUGUGCAGGAUCACCGAAUUUUGAGAACACCUGGAGUGGAUAAAGUAUCUAUGUACACUAUGCUGCCUGCUAGAAGCGUUGCAGCUGGAAGAAGAACUCCUCUAAGUGCUGGGGCACUGGAGCAAAGGGAAGCGUCCACCAGUCAGGAAACUAAAAAUUGCUAGCAGGGAGUCUCCUGGGAUAACAACAGCUGGAUAAGCUCGUGCAUAAAGCUGGGCACUGCUUAUCAGGGUGUUGUCAGGAAAGAGCCCUUGCUGUGAAGCAGGCUGUACCUAGAUAAAUAGAUCCCAAGUGGGAGGUUGCACAGGGAAAGAGAUGUUCCAAACAAACAGCCUUACAGCUCCAACAUGGAAAGCAGCUCCUUGGGCCUGGGGCCUAGUGGAGAUGGUGAGGAGCAAAUUGCAUAAAGGCGAGAGGAUUCGGUUCAGAGCAAUGUGCAAGGAAGCAAGCCGCAGGGUCAGAUGUACCAACGAGGAACGAAUCCCAAAGUUCAGAAGAUGAUGGAGCCACGGGGUAAAGCUGUUUGCUUGGGAAGCUCUGCUCGGGGCUGGGCUGCUGUCUGGAGAGAGGAGGAAAAAAACACCUUGCCCUUGGCUUGGAAACUCUCCAGAAAAGUUCAGUCACUGGAGGGCAGAGGAAAUGCCUGAUGAGGAACAGCUUGAUGUGCAUAAAAUACUCAGCAUCGGUGGGGGUCAGGGGAUGGGGGACAAGGCGGGGGGCUGAAAGGAGAUCUGUAUUUGGAGUACAAGUAACUAAGGGAGGCUGAUAACUGAAGGCCUUGGUUUGGAAACUACGAGGAUUUAUGCUGCAGUUAGAACGAGGAGGUUCUUGCUGGGUACUUUGCCUGUGUCGUAGCCUGGUACCCAAGUUACUGGGUGGUGGUACUGAUACACAUCCACUGAAGAAUGCUGUCUGUGGGGUGAGCUCUGCACAUUGCACAUCUACAGGGCUACAAAGGGCAGACGGGAAGGCCUGCAACGGAGUCAGCGGGAACCAGCUCCUUCCUCCUACCACUUCUGUUACCCUAAAUGCUUGUGUUUCCAAAAAACGAGUGGUCAAGCCCUGGUGACAGAGAGCCUGUAUGCUGCUUUCUGCUGCUCUGUGGCCAGCAGCAGUGACCGCUGUCCCUGGCAGGGGCGCGGACUUCCUCCAGCCCCGGGCGGCUGGGCAGAGCGGUGGCGGUGUGUUGCACUAACCUUUGAGUGCUUCAGUCAACACCAGAGCUUCCUUCCUAAGCCGCUGGGCUUAGUUAUAAAAGAUUUAGUGUCCAUCCUGUUAGGAGAAAGAGUACGCUUCUCAAAAAAAAAAAGUUAAAAUGUUAUGUGAAUGCCUCGUUUCACUGACAGAGCAUCCGAUAAAUGCUGUGGCUCGGUGUUUGUGUUAGAGCGCUUCACAGGCAUCUCUGCUCGUUCAGCAUUUCAACCAACUAACCAGAAGAUUUUUAAGGGUUACCACUGUUAAUAUAUGUUGAGCAAAGUAGAAGUGUUAUCUAGUAAUUCAAGCAUAGUCCCCCAAACCAAAAUUCAUAUUUCCCUCCCCAGCUCUGGACACUAUUUGGCUCUAGGUGCAUAUGGGUGUGCUAAGCAGCCUCUGAUGCACUGUUUCUUGUUCUUUUUUUGGCUUUGUUUCUUGUAAUCCACCUUGGUUAAAGUAUCCAGAGAGUAAUACUAAAAGAAAGCCUACUGCAAGUGCUGAAGAAGCUGCACCUUGUGGAUGACUGCUCUUACGCUCUCACUGCAGGCAUUUUGCUUAUGCAUUACCUGAGCAGGUUUUGCUCUUGGAGGUAUGGCCUGAUAGCCGCUUCCCUUGGGGAAUAUCGAGGGGCUUUAAAUAAUUUUGGGAAAUCUGAAGAGCAGUUUUUCUUGAUGAGCUUAGAAAAAAGAGCAAUAAACCGACGACAUUCAGUUCUGUGGUCUGUUGUCUGACUCAGCUGAGCCUCUUCGGCUGAGAGGGGAGGAGGUGUUUGCUUUGGCAGUGUUGCUUUCUGAACUUCAGGAGGUUUCCUAGGCCAAGAUCUUUGGUCUCACAUAGAUUGAUGGUGCAAAAAUGCUUCCUCAGCCUUUUUUUCAGCUUUCUCUGAUGUAAAAUAGUUUACAGAAAUUAGACACGUCUUAAGGAGUUUGUAUGUAAGUCCAAUAGCACUUGAGUGAGACAGGAAGAGCACAGGACGCAGCGAGCUUUAUAAUAACACAUUCCUUACCACAUGAGGUGAUUAAAAAAUGUUUGUAUGCCUGUGUAUGACAGAUCUUUCAUAAUAGGUUGCUAAUGCAAAAUGGAGGCAAAGCACAAGAUUUUUGUUUCAAAGAACGGUUAAUAGGCUAACGAUGGUGAGGUAAAUUUUAUCAUGUUAAAUACACUUCCUACGUCUUUGCAAUGUUGUCGUAUUCUGAAGCAUUUUUGCUGAGGACAGUAAUAACUUAGGAGAACUAAACUGUGAAAGCUAAUCGUUGCUUCACGUGGGUAUUUACUAUCCAGGGUGUUCAGUGAACUUGAUUGAUCUGGGCAAUGCAAAAAGGUGAGGCCACAAGCACAUAGGGAUUUUAUAGCAUCUAUAAAGUACUGUACACAGUUUUUGCUCAAUUUUAUGCUGUUAAACUAAACAUUUGGUAUCAUAUGGCACUUUAAGUACUUUGAUUUAUGGUUAGACAGAAAUUGCAUCUGUAAUAAACAUUCUAAAGUAUGAGGUUAA